CUUUUUUGUUUUUGAAUUCUAUUUUCUCCUAUGUUCUUCUUGUCUUUCCGUUCCGUUCUUUCCGUUCUUUCCGUUCUUUCCGUUCUUUCCGUUCUUUCCGUUCUUUCCGUUCUUUCCGUUCUUUCCGUUCUUUCCGUUCUUUCCGUUCUUUCCGUUCUUUCCGUUCUUUCCGUUCUUUGUUUUUGAACUGUCACCUAAUUUCUGCCCUAUGUUUCUGUCUCUGUGGAGGUUCUUUCCGUUCUUUCCGUUCUUUCCGUUUUCCGUUCUUUCCGUUCUUUCCGUUCUUUCCGUUCUUUCCGUUCUUUCCGUUCUUUCCGUUCUUUCCGUUCUUUCCGUUCUUUCCGUUCUUUCCGUUGUUGUUUUUGAACUGUUACCUAAUUUUCUGCCCUAUGUUUCUGUCUCUGUGGAGGUUCUUUCCGUUCUUUCCGUUCUUUCCGUUGUUGUUUUGAACUGUACCUAAUUUCUGCCCUAUGUUUCUGUCUCUGUGGAGGUUCUUUCCGUUCUUUCCGUUCUUUCCGUUCUUUCCGUUCUUUCCGUUCUUUCCGUUCUUUCCGUUCUUUCCGUUCUUUCCGUUGUUGUUUUGAACUCUCACUUAAUUUUCUGCUCUAUGUUUCUGUCUCUGUGGAGGUUCUUUCCGUUCUUUCCGUUCUUUCCAUUAUUUCCGUUCUUUCCGUUCUUUUUGAACUGUCACCUAAUUUUCUGCCCUAUGUUUCUGUCUCUGUGGAGGUACUUUCCGUUCUUUCCGUUCGUUCCGUUGUUGGUCUUGACAUGUCACUUAAUUUUCUGCCCUAUGUUUCUGUCUCUGUGGAGGUUCUUUCCGUUCUUUCCGUUCGUUCUGUUGUUGUUUUUGAACUGUCACCUAAUUUUCUGCCCUAUGUUUCUGUCUCUGUGGAGGUUCCUUCCGUUCCUUCCGUUCCUUCCGUUCCUUCCGUUCCUUCCGUUCCUUCCGUUCCUUCCGUUCCUUCCGUUCCUUCCGUUCCUUCCGUUCCUUCCGUUCCUUCCGUUCUUGUUUUUGAACUGUCACCUAAUUUUUUGCCUUAUGUUUCUGUCUCUGUGGAGGUUCCUUCCGUUCCUUCCGUUCCUUCCGUUCCUUCCGUUCCUUCCGUUCCUUCCGUUCCUUCCGUUCCUUCCGUUCCUUCCGUUCCUUCCGUUCCUUCCGUUCCUUCCGUUCCUUCCGUUCCUUCCGUUCCUUCCGUUCCUUCCGUUCUUGUUUUUGAACUGUCACCUAAUUUUUUGCCUUAUGUUUCUGUCUCUGUGGAGGUUCCUUCCGUUCCUUCCGUUCCUUCCGUUCCUUCCGUUCCUUCCGUUCCUUCCGUUCCUUCCGUUCCUUCCGUUCCUUCCGUUCCUUCCGUUCCUUCCGUUCCUUCCGUUCCUUCCGUUCCUUCCGUUCUUGUUUUUGAACUGUCACCUAAUUUUUUGCCUUAAGUUUCUGUCUCUGUGGAGGUUCUUUCCGUUCUUUCCGUUCUUUCCGUUCUUUCCGUUCUUUCCGUUCUUUCCGUUCUUUCCGUUCUUUCCGUUCUUUCCGUUCUUUCCGUUCUUUCCGUUCUUUCCGUUCUUUCCGUUGUUGUUUUUGAACUGUCACCUAAUUUUAUGCCCUAUGUUUCUGUCUCUGUGGAGGUUCGUUCCAUUCUUUCCGUUCUUUCUGUUAUUGUUUUUGAACUGUCACCUAACUUUCUGCCCUAUGUUUGUGUCUCUGUGGAGGUUCUUUCCGUUCUUUCCGUUCCUUCCGUUCUUGGUCUUGACCUGUCACCUAAUUUUCUGCCCUAUGUUUCUGUCUCUGUGGAGGUUCUUUCCGUUCUUUCUGUUGUUGUUUUUGAAGUGUCACCUAAUUUUGUGCUUUAUGUUUCUGUCUCUGUGGAGGUUCUUUCCGUUCUUUACGUUCUUUCUGUUGUUGUUUUUGAACUGUCACCUAAUUUUCUGCCCUAUGUUUCUGUCUCUGUGGAGUUCUUUCCGUUCUUUCCGUUCUUUCUGUUGUUGCUUUUAAACUGUCACCUAAUUUUCUGCCCUAUGUUUCUGUCUCUGUGGAGGUUCGUUCCGUUCUUUCCGUUCUUUCUCUUGUUGUUUUUGAACUGUCACCUAAUUUUCUGCCCUAUGUUUCUGUCUCUGUGGAGGUUCUUUCCGUUCUUUCCGUUCUUUCUGUUGUUGUUUUUGAAGUGUCACCUAAUUUUCUGCCCUAUGUUUCUGUCUCUGUGGAGGUUCUUCCGUUCUUUCCGUUCUUUCCGUUCUUUCUGUUGUUGUUUUUGAACUGUCACCUAAUUUUCUGCCCUAUGUUUCUGUCUUUGUGGAGGUUCUUUCCGUUCUUUCCGUUCUUUCCGUUCUUUCCGUUCUUUCCGUUCUUUCCGUUCUUUCCGUUCUUUCCGUUCUUUCCGUUCUUUCCGUUCUUUCCGUUCUUUCCGUUCUUUCUGUUGUUGUUUUUGAACUGUCACCUAAUUUUCUGCCCUAUGUUUCUGUCUCUGUGGAGGUUCUUUCCGUUCUUUCCGUUCUUUCCGUUCUUUCCGUUCUUCCGUUCUUUCCGUUCUUUCCGUUCUUUCCGUUCUUUCCGUUCUUUCCGUUCUUUCCGUUCUUUCCGUUCUUUCCGUUCUUUCCGUUCUUUCCGUUCUUUCCGUUCUUUGUUCUUUCCGUUCUUCCGUUCUUUUCCGUUCUUUCCGUUCUUUCCGUUCUUUGUUCUUUCCGUUUUUCCGUUGUUGUUUUUGAACUGUCACCUAAUUUUCUGCCCUAUGUUUCUUUCUUUGUGGAGGUUCUUUCCGUUCUUUCCGUUCUUUCCGUUGUUGUUUUUGAACUGUUACCUAAUUUUCUGCCCUAUGUUUCUUUCUUUGUGGAGGUUCUUUCCGUUCUUUCCCUUCUUUCCGUUCUUUCCGUUCUUUCCGUUCUUUUCGUUGUUGUUUUUGAACUGUCACCUAAUUUUUUCUUAUGUUUCUGUCUCUGUGAGGUUCCUUCCGUUCCUUCCGUUCCUUCCGUUCCUUCCGUUCCUUCCGUUCCUUCCGUUCCUUCCGUUCCUUCCGUUCCUUCCGUUCCUUCCGUUCCUUCCGUUCCUUCCGUUCCUUCCGUUCCUUCCGUUCCUUCCGUUCCUUCCGUUCCUUCCGUUCUUGUUUUUGAACUGUCACCUAAUUUUUUGCCUUAUGUUUUCUGUCUCUGUGGAGUUCCUUCCGUUCCUUCCGUUCCUUCCGUUCCUCCGUUCCUUCCGUUCCUUCCGUUCCUUCCGUUCCUUCCGUUCCUUCCGUUCCUUCCGCUUCCUUCCGUUCCUUCCGUUCCUUCCGUUCUUGUUUUUGAACUGUCACCUAAUUUUUUGCCUUAAGUUUCUGUCUCUGUGGAGGUUCUUUCCGUUCUUUCCGUUCUUUCCGUUCUUUCCUUCUUUCCGUUCUUUCCGUCUUCCGUUCUUUCCGUCUUUCCGUUCUUUCCGUUCUUUCCGGUUCUUUCCGUUCUUUCCGUUCUUUCCGUUCUUUCCGUUCUUUCCGUUUUUUCCCUUCUUUCCCUUCUUUCCGUUCUUUCCGUUGUUGUUUUUGAACUGUCACCUAAUUUUAUGCCCUAUGUUUCUGUCUCUGUGGAGGUUCGUUCCAUUCUUUCCGUUCUUUUCUGUUAUUGGUUUUUGAACUGUCACCUAAUUUUCUGCCCUAUGUUUGUGUCUCUGUGGAGGUUCUUUUCCGUUCUUUCCGUUCCUUCCGUUGUUGGUCUUGACCUGUCACCUAAUUUUGUGCCCUAUGUUUCUGUCUCUGUGGAGGUUCUUUCCGUUCUUUACGUUCUUUCUGUUGUUGUUUUUGAACUGUCACCUAAUUUUCUGCCCUAUGUUUCUGUCUCUGUGGAGGUUCUUUCCGUUCUUUCCGUUCUUUCUGUUGUGCUUUUAAACUGUCACCUAAUUUUCUGCCCUAUGUUUCUGUCUUUGUGGAGUCUUUCCGUUCUUUUCCGUUCUUUCCGUUUCUUCCGUUUCUUUCCGUUCUUUCCGUUCUUUCCGUUGUUGUUUUUGAACUGUCACCUAAUUUCCUGCCCUAUGGUUUCUUUCUUUGUGAGGUUCUUUCCGUUCUUUCCGUUCUUCCGUUGUUGUUUUUGAACUGUCACCAAAUUUUCUGCCCUAUGUUUCUUUCUUUGUGGAGGUUCUUUCCGUUCUUUCCGUUCUUUCCGUUCUUUCUGUGUUGUUUUUGAACUGUCACCUAAUUUCUGCCCUAAGUUUCUGUCUCUGUGGAGGUACUUUCCGUUCUUUCCGUUCUUUCUGUUGUUGUAUUUGAACUGUCACCUAAUUUUCUGCUCUAUGUUUCUGUCUCUGUGGAGGUACUUUCCGUUCUUUCCGUUCUUUCUGUUGUGUUUUGAACUGUCACCUAAUUUUCUGCCCUAUGUUCUGUCUCUGUGGAGGUUCGUUCCAUUCUUUCCGUUCUUUCUGUGGUUGUUUUGAACUGUCACCUAAUUUCUGCCCUAUGUUUCUGUCUCUGUGGAGGUUCUUUCCGUUCUUUCUGUUGUUGUUUUUGAAGUGUCACCUAAUUUUGUGCCCUAUGUUUCUGUCUUUGUGGAGGUUCUUUGCGUUCUUUGCGUUCUUUGCGUUCUUUGCGUUCUUUGCGUUCUUUGCGUUCUUUGCGUUUUUUGCGUCUUUGCGUUCUUUGCGUUCUUUGCGUUCU
rnacentral:lncRNA from 7 species